rnacentral:rRNA from 1 species
GAACGCUGGCGGCGUGCUUAACACAUGCAAGUCGAACGGAAAGGCCCUGCUUUUGUGGGGUGCUCGAGUGGCGAACGGGUGAGUAACACGUGAGUAACCUGCCCUUGACUUUGGGAUAACUUCAGGAAACUGGGGCUAAUACCGGAUAGGAGCUCCUGCUGCAUGGUGGGGGUUGGAAAGUUUCGGCGGUUGGGGAUGGACUCGCGGCUUAUCAGCUUGUUGGUGGGGUAGUGGCUUACCAAGGCUUUGACGGGUAGCCGGCCUGAGAGGGUGACCGGCCACAUUGGGACUGAGAUACGGCCCAGACUCCUAUGGGAGGCAGCAGUGGGGAAUAUUGCACAAUGGGCGGAAGCCUGAUGCAGCAACGCCGCGUGCGGGAUGACGGCCUUCGGGUUGUAAACCGCUUUCGCCUGUGACGAAGCGUGAGUGACGGUAAUGGGUAAAGAAGCACCGGCUAACUACGUGCCAGCAGCCGCGGUGAUACGUAGGGUGCGAGCGUUGUCCGGAUUUAUUGGGCGUAAAGGGCUCGUAGGUGGUUGAUCGCGUCGGAAGUGUAAUCUUGGGGCUUAACCCUGAGCGUGCUUUCGAUACGGGUUGACUUGAGGAAGGUAGGGGAGAAUGGAAUUCCUGGUGGAGCGGUGGAAUGCGCAGAUAUCAGGAGGAACACCAGUGGCGAAGGCGGUUCUCUGGGCCUUUCCUGACGCUGAGGAGCGAAAGCGUGGGGAGCGAACAGGCUUAGAUACCCUGGUAGUCCACGCUGUAAACGGUGGGUACUAGGUGUGGGGUCCAUUCCACGGGUUCCGUGCCGUAGCUAACGCUUUAAGUACCCCGCCUGGGGAGUACGGCCGCAAGGCUAAAACUCAAAGGAAUUGACGGGGCCCCGCACAAGCGGCGGAGCAUGCGGAUUAAUUCGAUGCAACGCGUAGAACCUUACCUGGGUUUGACAUGGAUCGGGAGUGCUCAGAGAUGGGUGUGCCUCUUUUGGGGUCGGUUCACAGGUGGUGCAUGGCUGUCGUCAGCUCGUGUCGUGAGAUGUUGGGUUAAGUCCCGCAACGAGCGCAACCCUUGUUCACUGUUGCCAGCACGUUAUGGUGGGGACUCAGUGGAGACCGCCGGGGUCAACUCGGAGGAAGGUGGGGAUGACGUCAAGUCAUCAUGCCCCUUAUGUCCAGGGCUUCACGCAUGCUACAAUGGCUGGUACAGAGAGUGGCGAGCCUGUGAGGGUGAGCGAAUCUCGGAAAGCCGGUCUCAGUUCGGAUUGGGGUCUGCAACUCGACCUCAUGAAGUCGGAGUCGCUAGUAAUCGCAGAUCAGCAACGCUGCGGUGAAUACGUUCCCGGGGCUUGUACACACCGCCCGUCAAGUCAUGAAAGUUGGUAACACCCGAAGCCGGUGGCCUAACCGUUGUGGGGGAGCCGUCGAAGGUGGGACUGGUGAUUAGG